rnacentral:lncRNA from 1 species
GCUUUGUAAUAAAACACAACUAAAAUUUUGCACAUGUUUAAUUUUUCUCAGGUCUUCUGUCAGAGACACGGGCUUGACAUUCCCUGGAGACACACCAUACAUUCCCUUCUUGUGAAAUCUGAGCUGUGGUUUUGAGAAUACCUCUUCCCAAGUUGGGUGAAGAGUGAAAAAGAAGAACUCUGCACCUCUGAUGUUCAUCCCAUGAAGAUGGUAAGCUAUGAAAUAUUAACUUUAUCUCUCUGGGCCAUGUGAAGAAUGUGGGAAUCCCAGAUACAUAGCUCAACAGAAAGAGAGGACAAAGAAAGAAGGAAGAGAAGUGGGA